UGAUAGCAAUGAAGCGUGAGGUUGCUGUCCUGCAAAAAAAAAGAUAAGCAAGGGCAGGUUUUCCGUGGAGCGAAUGUCAAGUUAGGAAACUGGCGACAA
rnacentral:ncRNA from 1 species